rnacentral:rRNA from 1 species
AUUGAACGCUGGCGGCAGGCCUAACACAUGCAAGUCGAGCGGAUGAAGGGAGCUUGCUCCUGGAUUCAGCGGCGGACGGGUGAGUAAUGCCUAGGAAUCUGCCUGGUAGUGGGGGAUAACGUCCGGAAACGGGCGCUAAUACCGCAUACGUCCUGAGGGAGAAAGUGGGGGAUCUUCGGACCUCACGCUAUCAGAUGAGCCUAGGUCGGAUUAGCUAGUUGGUGGGGUAAAGGCCUACAAAGGCGACGAUCCGUAACUGGUCUGAGAGGAUGAUCAGUCACACUGGAACUGAGACACGGUCCAGACUCCUACGGGAGGCAGCAGUGGGGAAGAUUGGACAAUGGGCGAAAGCCUGAUCCAGGCAUGCCGCUUGUGUGAAGAAGGUCUUCGGAUGGUAAAGCACUUUAAGUUGGGAGGAAGGGCAGUAAGUUAAUACCUUGCUGUUUUGACGUUACCAACAGAAUAAGCACCGGCUAACUUCGUG